rnacentral:rRNA from 1 species
AUGAACGCUGGCGGCGUGCCUAAUACAUGCAAGUCGCGCUAACAGACGAGGAGCUUGCUCCUCUGACGUUAGCGGCGGACGGGUGAGUAACACGUGGAUAACCUACCUAUAAGACUGGGAUAACUUCGGGAAACCGGAGCUAAUACCGGAUAAUAUAUUGAACCGCAUGGUUCAAUAGUGAAAGACGGUUUUGCUGUCACUUAUAGAUGGAUCCGCGCCGCAUUAGCUAGUUGGUAAGGUAACGGCUUACCAAGGCAACGAUGCGUAGCCGACCUGAGAGGGUGAUCGGCCACACUGGAACUGAGACACGGUCCAGACUCCUACGGGAGGCAGCAGUAGGGAAUCUUCCGCAAUGGGCGAAAGCUUGACGGAGCAACGCCGCGUGAGUGAUGAAGGUCUUCGGAUCGUAAAACUCUGUUAUUAGGGAAGAACAAAUGUGUAAGUAACUAUGCACGUCUUGACGGUACCUAAUCAGAAAGCCACGGCUAACUACGUG